rnacentral:rRNA from 1 species
CAAUAGCGUAUAUUAAAGUUGUUGCGGUAAAAAAGCUCGUAGUUGGAUUUCUACCGAAGAUAGCCGGUCGGGUCUUCGACCUUGUAUCUGGUUUUGCCUUUGGUAUCCUCAUAGGGAACGUUUCUGCGCUUUAUUGCGUGGUGCGGUAUCUAUGACUUUUACUUUGGGGAAAUUAGAGUGUUCACGGCAGGCAAACGCCUUGAAUAUAUUAGCAUGGAAUAAUAACAUAGGAUCUUCGUCCUAUUUUGUUGGUUUCUAGGGCUAAGAUAAUGAUUAAUAGGGAUAAUUGGGGGCAUCUGUAUCAACGCGUCAGAGGUGGAAUUCUUGGAUUGCGUUGCGACAAACUACUGCGAAAGCAUUUGCCAAGGAUGUUUUCAUUGA